UGCCAUGUGCUCUAUGACCCUGCUUGAGCAGGGAGGUUAGACUGGAUGACCCACUGUGGUACCUUCCAACCUUAUCCAUUCUGUGAUUUUGUGAUACCUAGGGAUAAAUUAUAAGGUGUCAAAAAAAGAAAAUACUGUAACGACAGCAUAAGAAUAGCUUUCCUGGCCUGACCAAAGGCCUGCCAGGUCUAAAAUCCUGUUUCUGACACUGGCUAAAUGUGGAUGCCUAGGGUAGAGGAUAAGAAUAAGGUAACCAUGUAUGUCCCUCCUCCCUCAUAGUUUCUUAACUUACAACCAGUUGUACCUGAUGGACUUUAAAGCAAAGGUAGUUUCUGUAGUGUAGGGAAACCUCAGUUGAUUUCUCUUCCAUAGUUUGUCAGUCUUCCCUUGAAGACAUAUAAAAUUUUGUAUCUAUAAUGUUCUGCAUCA